CAUGCCCAAAGUUGCCUUUUCUCAAUGAUUGAUGACUAUUCCUGAAUGCUUCAGAGAGAGAGAGAGAGAAACCAGGCCAGGUGUCUCAACCUGUUCAUCUUCCUUCAAAAUGCUCCCUGCACAUCUGGCAGCCCCCCAAACCCAGAAUCUGCACAGCAGUCCAAGAGGGCAGCUUUGAAAACUGCAAGAACUAUGAUCGACACAAGGACCAUGCCUGAUUGCAGAGGACUGGUGAUGAAGAAUGCUAUCUGCCUCUUGACAGAAGUGAGAGAUUUAGUGUGGUGGGAGAGAAAGAAAAUUUCUGCUCAUGAAAAAAAAACCACUAAAAAAUAGAGAAAAUCAAGCAUUUGCCUGAGACAGCUACAAUGGUGGUAAAGAAAGACUCAGAUCUGCUGAAACUGGGAAAGCAGCCAUAUUUACAGGACAAGGUCUGCCUGCAAGUACAUCGAGCUUUGCCUGAGGUCCUAAAUGGAGAGGUGAAGUAGCAGUCAAAACCAGAACAGACAUGCUGGCUCCUAGUCCAAUGGCCUUUGUAUCUCCCUAAUUCUGGGAUAGCAGUGGCAGCUGCCUGGUGGACAAAGUCCAGGUGAAAUGUAGGAAAAGAAUGAAGAAUUGGACAGAAAGAGAUUUGUCACACUUCUUCUGGAUGGGAUUAACUCCAAAGCAGAGACAAUCAAUGAAUGUAGUCAUUUUAAUUACAGUUAUCCCUUCCACAUGGAGGGGGUUGAGGGAACAGUGCUCCUGUGCUCUGGAAAAUCCAGAUAAACAUUUUUGGCCCUUUCUUCAUACCACAGAAGAAAUCUGAAUUUUUUUUUCUUUUUCUUUUAUGGGUAUUUACAGUACCUUAUUGUAAAAUUUGGGCUAAGUGUUUGGUCAUAAGCUCCGGGUCGUCAGCUGGUCUUUGUCAUCUGUGACUUCUGCAAAAUUCCAAGACAAUUUCCAUUUAAUUUUGUGUGCUGACCCAUGAUAUGACAAAACUGAGAUGGGGAAAGUCGCAAUAUAGAAAGGAUAACUGUACUGGUUUCCCUCCCCGACCUGGCCCUAAUUGUCCCUUUGUUGAUGGAGGAGCAAUGAAGGACCUUGAGAGGGAGAAAUAUUGUCUCUCCUGACAUCAUCUUCCUCUCCUGCCCCCAACUGAGGAAGAGCAGGUGGUGCUAAAAUUAGGCAGAAUUGUGAAGCCUUUGGUACC